rnacentral:rRNA from 1 species
GACGUAGGGCGCGAGCGUUGUCCGGAUUUAUUGGGCGUAAAGAGCUCGUAGGCGGCUUGUCGCGUCGUCUGUGAAAUCCCGCGGCUCAACUGCGGGUCUGCAGUCGAUACGGGCAGGCUAGAGUUCGGUAGGGGAGACUGGAAUUCCUGGUGUAGCGGUGAAAGUGCGCAGAUAUCAGGAGGAACACCGGUGGCGAAGGCGGGUCUCUGGGCCGAUACUGACGCUGAGGAGCGAAAGCGUGGGGAGCGAACAGG